rnacentral:rRNA from 1 species
UACGUCGGGGGCAAGCGUUGUCCGGAUUUAUUGGGCGUAAAGCGCGUGUAGGCGGCCAGGUAGGUCGGUUGUGAAAACUGGAGGCUCAACCUCCAGACGUCGACCGAAACCAUCUGGCUAGAGUCCGGAAGAGGAGAGUGGAAUUCCUGGUGUAGCGGUGAAAUGCGCAGAUAUCAGGAAGAACACCGAUGGCGAAGGCAGCUCUCUGGGACGGUACUGACGCUGAGACGCGAAAGCGUGGGGAGCGAACAGG